UUUAAGUUGUGGUAAAGUUGGCUUCUGUGGAUUACGUUCGGUUGUUUUCGGCCUGUCAAAAUUCGUUUUUACCG